rnacentral:rRNA from 1 species
AUACGGAGGGUGCAAGCGUUGUUCGGAAUCACUGGGCGUAAAGGGCGCGCAGGCGGUUUGGUGAGUCAGAUGUGAAAGCCCACGGCUCAACCGUGGAAGUGCAUUUGAAACUGCCAGACUUGAGUACCAGAGGGGAAAGUGGAAUUCCCGGUGUAGAGGUGAAAUUCGUAGAUAUCGGGAGGAAUACCGGUGGCGAAGGCGACUUUCUGGCUGGAUACUGACGCUGAGGCGCGAAAGCGUGGGGAGCAAACAGGAUUAGAAACCCUUGUAGUCC